UCCGAGUUGACCCCGGCAGUCUCCUAUGAGUCCCCGCCAUCACGCGCUGGCAACAUAGAACGAGGGUUGCGCUCGUUGCGGGACUUAACCCAACAUCUCACGACACGAGCUGACGACAACCAUGCACCACCUGUGCAGGACCCUUGCGGACCCCCCAUCUCUGGAGGAUUUCCCUGCAUGUCAAGCCUUGGUAAGGUUCUUCGCGUUGCGUCGAAUUAAGCCACAUGCUCCGCUGCUUGUGCGGGCCCCCGUCAAUUCCUUUGAGUUUUAGUCUUGCGACCGUACUCCCCAGGCGGGGCACUUAAUGCGUUUGCGACGGCGCGGAUCUCGUUGGUUGAGACCCACACCUAGUGCCCAACGUUUACGAACAGACACCGAGCACACAUCGUUUAGGGCGUGG
rnacentral:misc_RNA from 1 species